CCAGCAUCUGUCCUUUAGAGUUUUAACUUUGGGAAAUUAUAGCUGCCAAUCAAAAUGCGGGACAGCGUCUCAAUGGGUGGGACGUGGAAAAAGGGAUGAAAAUGCUGUGCAGUUCCGCACAAAGCGGGACACUUGGUCACCCUAUUUUUGACGCACUUAUGGAAGACUGUAGGGUUCAAUCAACGGAGCAUGAGGGUUAAGAUGACUUUGUUUUGCUCCAGACUCUCGUGUCAUUUUGUUCCAGCUCAGGUGUGACGCAUAAGAAAACAGCAGAAGACAGAGAUGUGUGCUUUGGCUCAAGAAAGACGCCCUUUAUGGAGCCGCAGCCCGCUGACGGGCAGCGAGCGUGUGUUCAGCAGACUUUAAUUGUCUGUCGGUGGCAGUAAAAGAACCGGUGAAAUACACAACCGUAAAAGAGCCGCGGUGCGUCCUGGGAGAUGGAGAUGAAGGAAAACACACCGGGCUGGAGGCUGAUGGCGAGAAGAUCAGACAAAGAGCCUUUCACCCAAAGAUUUAUAUUACUGUCUGCUUGGAAAUGACUCCACACAGAACAGAUCCAUCAGUCAGGUGUUUCCAUAAAAGACCAAAGAACUACAGACUCUUCACAACCUGCUCAAACUCUUGGUACAGGACCUCACCACACGGGUCAAGAAGGUUUCUGUCUCAUUUCUACUCUGAAGCUCACCUUCUCCUGCUCAAGCUGCUGACAAAUGUUUCUGCUGCUCUAAAGUCUGGUCUCCAGAACUUCCUAAAAACUCUCAAAGUCUCUUCUGCUGCAGGUUGCUUUGUAGAACUGUUCCAGAAAACCUCACUAAACCACAUGGAGGGUCCUCAAGAUAGUCGUCCAAAUGAUGGAAGCUGCAAGCCAACGCCUAAAGAACAAACUAAAGCAACGGAACCAAACCCAGUUCUGUGGUGAAGAGAAACAGAGGAAAUGUUUGUCUGCAGCUAAAUAAAGCAGGAAGACACUGAGCUGCUCAGGUGUUCCUGAUAACACCAAGCAGCCACCUGGACAGCCAAUAGGAACACAGCUUCCUAGAAG
ensembl:lncRNA